rnacentral:rRNA from 1 species
GACUACCGGGGUAUCUAAUCCUGUUUGCUCCCCACGCUUUCGCACCUCAGCGUCAGUAUCGGUCCAGCAAGCCGCCUUCGCCACUGGUGUUCCUCCUAAUCUCUACGCAUUUCACCGCUACACUAGGAAUUCCACUUGCCUCUCCAAUACUCAAGUCUUUCAGUUUCAAAUGCAUGUCACCGGUUGAGCCGGUACCUUUCACAUCUGACUUAAAAAACCGCCUGCGUGCCCUUUACGCCCAGUAAAUCCGGACAACGCUUGUUCCCUACGUAUUACCGCGGCUGCUGGCACGUAGUUAGCCGGAACUUUCUCCUUGGGUACCGUCUUUUUCUUCCCCAAUAACAGAACUUUACGAUCCGAAGACCUUCUUCAUUCACGCGGUGUUGCUGCGUCAGGGUUUCCCCCAUUGCGCAAUAUUCCCCACUGCUGCCGCCCGUAGG